ACUGACUGUUUUGUUUGUAGUGGUUAUGCAGCAGAUGAAAUAACACACUGCAUUCGACCGCAGGACAUCAAGGAACGAAGGGCAGUUAUCAUACUUAGAAGAACCAGACCUGAAGCCCCAAGGGUUGAAUUGUCUUCCUUGAGUAACUCACUGCUGCCCGCAUUUCCUUCUGAUAGAUUUUCUGGUAGCCAGAAAUACCAGGUCCUCAAAGCAAAGCGAUCACACAGAAAAGCAGACCCUGAUGCUGCACAUAGGCCAAGGAUCUUGGAAAUGGAUAAAGAAGAAAACAGGCGAUCUGUCAUUUUAUCAAAACACAGGAAACAUAGUAUUUCCAGUUCAGAAAAUUACUGGAGAAAGUCCCAUGAAUACCCAGAUGACUAUGAACAUGAAGAAAGCCCAGCUCGAAAAGUUAAAAUGAGGCGGCAUUGAGGAGGAAGAUAAUUCGUAGACUUGAACUGUCAGAAAUUGGCUGAUGUGAGAAGCUAGAGAAACCCUUUGUAUCAAUUUCUUGCUGGCAAUUUUUCCUUUAUUAAUGAAGAUCAGUCACUAUUUUAUUUAAAAUAUUUACAAACUACUGGUACAAUACUGACAACGCAUGUAAUGCUACAGAGCAUUAUACUUGGCAUUAGUGUAGUGGGCAGCCAGGUACAGGGAAAUGCUGCAUUGAGUUCAGAACUCAGCAGCCAAUAGGUCAGCUGUUCAACACUACAUAUUCUAACAAAAGAGUUUGCUUACUGUACUGUUUAAUUAUUUCAGGAAAUAAGUUAAUUUUUUUGCAGAAGCCUUUUGUACAGUUUUGCGUAUGUUUUUUUUGUUUUUGUAGCACAUACUAUAUUGAGGCUUUCAUACCUUAGUAGUAAUUUAUAUGUUUAAAUAGUUGUCCUGUUAAUUUUUUCCCCAUUAUCUUCCACCAGCUUUCUUACCUGAAGGUCUCAGUAUGUAUUUAAGAUUGUGGCUUAUUUAGUGUCUGAAGUGACUGAGAAAUUCCGUAUUCUAUAUUGCAGUUUAUAUAUGUAGAUUUAUGGUAACAUUACGUUUGGUGACUGCAAGCAGCUAAAGAUCCUAAAAGCAGAGCACUGAAAAAAUGAAAAACAUUUGUGUUUGAGGGAAAUUAAAUCAGAAUUGUAGAACAGUGCGAAUUAAUGUAAUUUUUUAAACACCUUUAUAAAAUUGUCACUUAAGGCAAACAGUAGAAAAGAAAACAAAGCAUUUUAACAUUUUCCAUUUAAAUGCAGUGUACAUCACACACACAUUUUCUUUGCUACUUUCAUCAGUCCAACAUUACAAAAAAAUAGCUGAAUUUCCUGCCUGCCUUUAAAUCUCAUUCCUCCUCUUGAACAUUAUUAUGCAUGUAUUCCAACAAUUUCCAUUUGCUUCUUUCAGCUGAAGGUCUUACAAGCAGAGCUCUGAAAAAAAAUGUUUGGUGUGAAGGUAAAAAACAGUAUUGUAGAACAAUGUAAUUUGUAGUAAUAUAGUAUGUACUACAUGGAGUGCUGUGAUUAUGAAUUUGGGAGAAAGGCAGAUUUGUUAAACACUUUUCUAACCUAGAAAAGUGCUUAAGUUCUGUUAAGCAUCUUUUAGCACCAUUAAGCUGCAUUCUUGCAAGGAACAUUAGCAGCCAACCUAACAUCAUCAUCAUCCAAAGCACACGGCUUUAAAUGCUGUAAAGUGUUUCAGGUUUCCGCAUAAAAAAGUGAUGCAGUGUGAAGUGUCUUAACAUUUUUUAAAGCUGUUGAGCUGUACCUUCUGGCCACUAAGUGUUUUGUGUCUCUGAGUAGUAAAAUAGUAAAACACUUUGUUUUCUUACCCCCCCCAAUACCUAGUAGUACAUCAGAGAGGCUAAAGGUUUGUGUACUACAACAAGUUGUGAUGGUUUGGGUCCCUCUGAUCAUAAUCAGGUUGUUCUAUGUUCUCGUCAUAUAUUUCAGCAUUCAUCUUUUGAGCUGUGCUCCUCAUCUCUAUAUGAAAAUUUAUUUACAUCCAUAUCUUGAACAUGUAACGCUUUGGUCAUGAUUGGUCAGGAAUUGUAAUUCUGUAUAUUCAUCAUAUUGCUCACUGUUGUGGUAAUUAUCUUAUUUGAGACUUCUGCUGUAGAAAGCCCAAUGUCUGGCCUUACUUCUAGAGCUUAGCUAUCAUCCUCCUCCUGGAUAGGCAGAAGCUCUUCUAUGUGGACAAUAGCACACGUGUGGUAUAAGGGGGACAUCUACCAGCACAAUCUUUUGUUCUUUAUUGCCACUGAAUGUGUCAGUCCAUCAGUUCAGCAUGGCUUCCAGAGUAGGCUGUAAAUACCUGCUUAAGGGAAGUCUUUUUCUUUUCCCAUGUGUUUAUAACCGUAGCAGUUUUACUGGCAUAUCAGGUAUGUAGGUGUUGGGGGAUAUUUUGAUUAAUAAAUGUAUUAAGGGAUACUGUGAUUACUUGUGUUACUUAUAGAAAACCAAAUUCCUCACAAGGAUUUUCACAUUGUUUUCUGGGGACAGUGCAUAAUGUCUCCUCUUAUCCCGUUUGUUAGGAGAUUGCAUAAUCUGUCCAGGACUAUGCCUCCCAGAAAAGACUGUCCACCUUGUCCAGGACCGCCAUGGCUACAUGGGUACCAUAACAAAAAUGGUAGAGUGUAAACUGCCAACAAGAGGAGGAAUAAUGGGAGGCAUACAACAUCCAUUUGGAGUCUGAAAGUCCUCUACACAGAUGGUGGGCAGCUGGUCUAAUGAGGCACUUUACAGCCCACAGCACUGAUGAUCUGCUCUGACAGAGGCCUUUGGUAUUGCCCUUCCGGAGGCCACCCUGCACUUGGAUGAUGGCACAUCAUCCAAAGCCUCUUGAUCUUUGGAUGGUUUUGACACCUCUUCACAUGCCUCUGGUUUCCAUACCUACUCUGUGAUCAGUGAGAUUGUACAGUCCUUCUCUGCAAGGAUGUAUGCAUGUCCUAGAUCAAGGCUUUGGUAUCUGCCUGUGUUCUGAGAAGUAAGAGUUAACCUCUCCCUGAACUAGGACCACACCAUUGAAUUCUAGAUGUCCACUAUCUUGCCAGAGCUCCAGUUGGACGGGGUAUUCCCCUAUCCCACUGCCUAGCCCCUCUUUCGGAAUGUAGUUAAGGUGUUGUAGGAUGUUGUAUGAUUCCUUGUUUAGCCCCUGCAGACAUCUUCAGGGUAUUCUUUGUCAGAGGUGCCUGCUGGAGAUCAGAAGCUGGAAGCCAUCUUGCAUUAUGGAAGCAGCUACCUAGUUAUCUGCCCCAAUCUUCUCUAAGUAUUACAACAUGGACAGUGCAUGUAGAGGCAGGAAAGGAUUUACUACAGCCAUCCUACAGAAAUUAGUUAAGCCCAACACCCUUUCGUCCUUGAGCUUUUCUGUAUUGCAACAGUGAACAGUAUUAAUACUGUUACAGUUGUGUUUGGAAAUUACCAUAGUUGUAGAUGUUUGAAUUUGUUCACUUUUGCAGAAAUAUUUUUCCUCCCCACUUCUCUCCUCCUCUUCACCUGUGUACAUCUUUGGGUUGGAUGCAAAAUCAGCCCUUCCUCUUUCCUUCCCUAUCUGCUUCUUUUAUAGGCUGUCCUCCCUGCUCGGGUUGACCUAUAAGUGGGAAAGGCAGUUUUGUUUUGUUUUUUUUUGGGGGGGGGGGGGCUGUUCUGGUUAGACUGGCAUAGCGGGGGGGGGGCAACUCUAUCCUGCCAUUGUAUACCUAUGCACUUAGAGCACUUGCCUCAACCACAGAACAAGAAAAAAAGUGAAAAUGGCAUUGGUUGAUGUCCCCUCUUACUGCAGAUGUUGUCCAGCUGAAGAGAUGCCUACCUGGUCUGGAGUGGGAAGUAGUUAAGCUCUAGAAAUUGGGUCUGCUGUGGCAGAGGCUCCAAAUGAAAAAAAAGCUAUUACAGCAGCUGUGUCUCCUGGUGGCCUUGUCUGCUCUUCAUAAGGCUUGCUGGUAGAAGAAACAUUAGAACUCGAGUCCCUUAACUAAAGGGCUGUGAGUCUUGUCUUGUGUGUAAAUUGCCGUUCAAGUGACUGAAUCCCUACUAUAGACUGUAACAUCAUCCUUUAUCUUCCACUUUGUAAGUGGUAAAAUUCAUUUGUGUUUUAAUUUAUUUUCCUCUCCUCCUGGCACCUGGGCAUGGGCUGUAUUUCUUUUAUGGGCAGGAAUUUAGGUUGGUUGCCCAAGCUGAAACUCCUUUCAGAUGUAUAUGACCGAAGAUGUUAGAGUUCUAUUGUCAUCUGCUUCUUCCCUCCAAAUGUAGACCGUGGGUGCUGCAAUUGAUAAUGCUUCUGCAACAGCUCAUACUUCUGUCUGUGUUUAAUGCUGUUCUUGGAACUGUUCAACAGUUCAUGCUUCCAGCCACAGUGAUCACUGUGUCUUUCAGGUAGGCAUCUUUUCAAAAUGAUGAAAGUGGAAUUUCCGUGAGUACUGGACAAACUUCAUUUAACAAGCACAAUCAGAAGAAGUGGCCCAUGGGCCUAGCAGAACUGACCUUGUAAAGUAAAAAUAAAUUUGUAGAAAUACCAUUGUAAGAGUGGAUUGCUGUAGAGCAUUAAGAAUCCCAAAGCUAUUGUAUAGGAAAGUACUUGUAAAGUAAGAAUAUUAUGACUUGCCCAUUUCCAACUGCAACUGCAGAUUAUUUCAUAAAAACUUGACCUAGGGUUGCAGUCUUGGUUUUAAGUGGUGUAGAUGAUGAAACUCCCCACCCCCACCCCCACCUCCAGUGUGGUGGCAUGGGAGGACUUUGCCUCUCCCUCCCCUUCACCCAAGGCUUCUAGUUUUAACUUAUUUACACUUUUCAUUGCACCAGUCUAUUGCUGAAAUGGAAUUGAACAGUUGUAACAUUAAAGCCAUUGUUCGCCCACCUUCAGUCUCACUUCACGGUGCCAGUUUGUCAUGAGACCUUUUGGUAUCUGCUACCGAAUUGAUCAUUCCCUUGGGGAGCGAAAACUUUUGUCAUCCGCACUAACUGGCUUUUUACUUUCCUAGGUCCAUUUGCAGAAGUUCAUCUGUUGCAUAAAAUUUUAAGCUGUUUUUUUCUGAUUUCAUUUGCUGUGUAUGGUUGUAGUUUAAGUAGGUGGCCCUCUACCCAGUUUUUAAUUUAUUUUUUUAAAAAGGGUACAACACUGAUCCAUCUGAAUUCUUUUAGUUUACCAGCUUGUGAGGUCUGAGUUACUGGAGUAUUUUCAGUCUGGAAACCGUAUUAACGCAAGCUAUAGAGGAAGUGUUGGUACUGAAUGCUAAGCCCUUUUUGCAUGGGCUGGACCUGGCAUUCUUCAUACGCAUCUGACUCUUCACUGUAUUCUUUGUAGCACUGUCUAAUUGUGGAUGUACCCUGUUCCUGGUGCACAGAAUAUACUUGUGACACUUUCCUGUAUAUGUAACAUAUGUUUUGUAAUUCCUCCACAGUAGGUUCCAUAUUUGGCAUGAGCUGGAUGAGAGGAAGCUUUCAGGACUGAAAGUCAGUUGCUGCUAUCCAGCUAAGUGCCACAAGCUCUCUUUCAUGUUCUUGCUUUCAUCAUUCUCGCAUCAUAUGGUUGUGAUAUUCAUGCUAAUUUGCAGGUGAAGUCCAGAAUAGCGGCACUGUUGAAGUGCAGAAUAUUUUUAAUACUUUGUAUUUCAGUAGUCUAUUCAGUUUGUCAGAAUAACUAGAGAUGUCAGUUAAUGGAACACCAUUAGUUGCAACUCUGAUCUCAGCUUGCAUUUCUGAUUUGGGAUUUAUUUGGAACACUCCUUGGUGUUUACAACACACUACUUAAGUAUUUUAUCAGAAAUAUUCCUAUUUUGGCUGCGCUAAUAGCAGUAAGACAAAAGCUGUUUAAAUACCCAUGUAUAAAUAUUGAUGCAGAUAUUGUAAAUGGUUGCUUAUUACCACAUUAGUUUUCAGGACUGACCUGUGUACUUUCGUUGGGCAUGCCAUAUUUAUAGGCGCCUUUUUUUUGCUUUUCCUCUCAUUUUGGAGUGUCACAUAGUCGAGUAAACCAGGUCUGUGAUUGGUUAGGAGAUUAAUAUGAGUUAUAUUAGUUUGGUAUCCAUCUUUGAUGGUUCUACAGUCUGGGAUGCUUCCUAAACAUUCAGUCAUGUCAGCAAACUGCUUUUCAGGAGGUUUUGUGCCUAUUUUAAAAAGAAGCCCCAACACAAAUAUCUAGACUUGUGUGCAGUUCAUGCUGUUGUGCUGCUGUGCAUCUGUGUGAAAACAUACUGGCUUAUGUAGUGUCUUACGUGUCCGAGUAUUGGUAUUCAGUUGUAGAAAGAAUUGUUUGUUGCAAAUUCCAUAGCCUUUGCAGAGUAGUAGUAAGUGUCAAUGAAAAGAUUUAACCUGCGGUUUACUUAGAAAAGCUGGCACGUGCCCUUAGUUGAAAGUUGAUGAAAUCUGCACUUGGCUUGCUAAGAAAGCCAGCCACCAAAAAGUGUGGUCAAAGAAUACCACCAUUCUUAAAGUUUUUCAUCCAGAUAGGCAGUAUAAGAAAUUAGGUUUACUCCCCUGCUUGCCAAUUUGAUAUUUGCUGGGAUUUUGGGAUCUAUGUAGUUCUGCAACCAGUUUACAUUAGCAUAUGGUAUAUUUUUGGAUCUGUGUAGUUCUGCAACCAGUCUACAUUAGUGUGCUUUAUAUAUGACAUUGGAGUGGGCACUGCACUUGCGAUGCAGAAUCAUUCUUGCAGAUGGUCUCAUCUAUGAAAAAAAUGACAUAAAUGAAUUUUGUCUUGAAAGUUCACUCCUGUCUGCUGAAAGGAAUGAGACUGACAGAAGUGCAGGCUCAGUUGUUGCAGUUGCAACCUUUCAGCAGCUGAAUAUUUGCAGAAGCAUCCAAAUUUAUGCAGGUGGAUGCACUUGUGUAUGAGCAUGUGCAGUCAGUUUAUAAAAUAUUAAGGAAUAUUUUGAAUCGUGUAUGUUAUUUUAAGUUUCUUUAUACUUUGCUCUGUUUUCAAGAAAGAUUGUUUUGAAAAAUUUUGCAUAAUUGUGAUUUGGUGUCUGCCAAUAGUAUUAUGCUGCAUUUGAGCUUGUCUUCUGCAUUGAAACCAAUUAUAAUUCCUGAAUAAAGGCUUGUAAUGAAGAGCUGGUCAGAAAUGUAAAAAAUCUGUAGGACCAUUGUUGAAGCAAUAGUAGUCUUGGUGGUUACUGGUAGCAAUCUAGCUAUAGGGAAAAAGAGAAUUUAAAAAUUGAGAAUUUUGGAACAUGGAAGAUCACCCUUCUCAUGGACCGUGACAUGAUUCUAACAGUUCUUCUGGGGUGCUGCCUCUGAGCUUAUGGGUAUAUUUAGACUUUUAUCUUUUGAAGUCGUAACUGAAGCUUACUGUGGAAGAGGGUCCCCAAACAUUUUUGUGAUGGUUUCUGUGGUGCUUCUCUUACUUAUUUCUGAGUUAAGACCUCCGAGAAUCAUCCCAAGUUUACCUUAGCUGUGAGCAAAUGAGUAAAUAAAAAGCGUAUUGCAUGACAACUGCAACCCCCUCCCACCCUAGGAAUUACUUUAUUUUGUUAAAAAUAUAAAGUAGUGAUCAUCUCUUAAUUCACAUUUUCCAUCACAGGCAGCAGUGGACACUCAGGGGUCCACAAUGUUUUUUAUUUGUGUUAAUGUAUGAAUUUUUCAUCCUGUAUGAUGAAUCAGCAGUACAGAUUUGAUUAGUAGAAAGUUGACCUGUCCAGACAGAUCUGUAAUGUGUGAACUGUUAAAGCUAACUAGGCUGCUUAACCAAAGAAAUUAGACAGCUUUAUAUUCUAGCAUUGUGUAGUGUCCUCUGAGGGAAUUCAAAUGAAUUAAAAUUAGAGGCAUAGCAUAAACAGGUAAUUUUGGGGUACAUCUGAAUUAGGUGUCAUCAGAGAGUAAAAGCAAGUGAUUUAUGGCACUGCAGUUUUAAGUAAAUGUAGAAAGAAAGGACCUGAAGUCAGUGUCUCUUGUAUCUAAACUGGUAUAUUAUAGAAUAAAGGCUAAACAGUAAAAGUUAGUUUUAACAUGCUGAUAAUAGUCAAUCAGAAAGUCCGUCUCAACUGAAUUAUUUUCAAUAUGCCUUUUCAUUCAUGCUUGUAUUAAAAAAAAAAAAAAAAAAAACUUCCCCCAGAAAAAAAAAACUUUAUCGAAGAUCCUGUAUUAAAAGUAAGGUUUAUUUUGUUCAGAAUUAGCAAAACUGUAUAGUUAGAUGAAUACUUCAGAAGUACAGAGUUGCAGGAAUGGCAGCAUCUUUUAGUUUGAUCAAGGGAAUAGUAUAUUAUUUUAUUGCACCCAUUUGUUUCCGUUUCAGAAAGGUGGCAUUACUAAAAGGCUAUGUUUUCUCCAUGUAAGUACCAUAGAGACUGGCUGUUCUUGGAGGCCUUGGUAUGAAAAGAGAGCAUCAUUUUUAACGUAGCCUUUCAACAUGUAAAGUAACCUUUUUUUUGUUGUUUUUAUCUCUCUGCUGUGUGGUUUGUUGGCUUGUUGUAGAAAGGGACAUCUCCGUACAUAAGUUUAACAGUUUUUUUAGCUUCACAUGUAGUACUACAUUCAUUUUUUUUAAUUCAUUAAGUACCAGCAGUUUUGUACAACUUUUAAUUUGAUAGUUGUGUAUAAAGAUAAUCUGCUAAUGUUAAAUGCAUGGAGGGAACAGAAUUUGUAAGACUAUCAAUUUUAAUACUUGCUUGAUGGGAGAGAAAACUGCAUUAAGUAUUGCGCAGUGCCUCCCCCCCCAAAAGUAGGGAUUGUGGUUCUAAAUUCAGUACAUUGUGAAAGUUUCUUAAAAACAAGAGCUCCACUGCUUUGUAGCUGCUGUACCAAGCAGGAGCAUGUCACCAAUCUCAGUGAUGCAGCAGAAGACAGAGCAGUUCUUAUUUCGGCAUAUUUGUGUGUGUAAGCAGCAAAGAUUAGUGUAAUGUAAUGGGUUAGCUCAGUAGCAUUUGCUGGAAUAGUUUUCCUUUUGCUUUGUAUUAGCAAGCUAUUAAAAUAGUGACUGUACAAACAUGUAUCCAUAAGGUGUAAAGGUUCUUGAAGAUGCAUUUGUACACCAUCUUGAAUAUUGCAGAUACUACAGUUACUAAACGGAAUAUUUUUUUCACUUGUAACUGGAUUUCAUGAACUGUAUGUGGAGCUUCUGUAGUAUUGUUUGACUAACUGGUUAACUACUCACUUUUUUUUCUCUUGCGUGAUAUUGUAUGCCACAAUUCUUUAGUCGCUGAACCUGAAGCUUGUUCUUUUGUGCCAUGAGGUUUGUCUAAAAGCAGGAAUUCAACCUUGUUUAUGCAGAUAGUGUUUACAAGACUCCAAUAUAAUGGCACUUUUUUGUAUAUGUUGCACUCCAAUUUUCAUAUAUUUUCCUCUUACAGUGAAACUGACCUUUUGAAUUACCUCACUGAAUGCCCUGGGUAGUAAAGGCCAUCUGCUUUGUAGACAUUUCUUAAGGCUGUAUCCACUUUCUCAUGCAUCUCCAAGCAGGAUUUUCACAGUUGUCAAUAUUCAUAGAGUCCAGUGAACAAAGACUUUUUUCCUGUGUUGAGCUGCACAUGUAGCAUUGUUAUUCAUCUGACACUUGAGCAGUAUUUAAAGUCUUUCAUUCAUUACCGUAUGCACCUUCUUUUUGCUAGUCAGUGUUAGAUUCUUGCUGGGCUCCUGCUAGCUUUCAUGUGUGUUAGUGAUAUGCAGCUGACUUGGGUCCAUGGUUUGGAUUGCUUUUAUACCAGUCACAUUUAACUUUUGUGGCUUCUGCAUUUGUAGUUCUGGCUGUUCAUUUCCUGCAGCUUGAAGAAUUUUUCUUUGCAUAGUUUCAAGUAGUCCUGCCCAUUGCUUUAAGGAAUGUCACAUUGUAAUGUGUUCAAACUGCCCAGACUCUCAAGUUUUUAAUUUUAAAAUCCACCAAUUUAAAACUUAAAAUCAUAAUAAUAUGUUAAUGUUUUGUUGCAAAAGCUUUAUGAAAUGGAUAAACAUUCUGUAGAAAAAUGCCCACCAGAUCAAGGAGCAAAGCUAGCCAAGUAUGUACCAGUCAUAAUCUAUUAACAGUUUAACUCUGGACCAGAGUACUGUUUUCCACACCAGACAGAAAAGUAUAAUGGAUACUUGAAAAUAAAUAGGAAAAAGUGCCAUGUGGCAGGAUCUUCUUCAUAUGUACAGACUUAUAUUAAUGCCUGCUGUUUUCUUGCAGGCAGGAGCUACAUAAUUUGAUCCUUUUUCUUUGAUACAUGCAAAGAAAUACUUUGUUUUCUGUUCAUCAGAACCAGUAUUUAAUGCACAUUAUGUACAGCUGUGUGUAUGUUGGGGGGGGGUUCAAAGUGUGUUCUUAAAGCUGAAUGUCUGCUGAAUGGAGAAGCAGCCACAAUUAUGUUUUCUUGCACAUGCUUCUUUAAUGUCCGCGCUUCCAUUCAGUGCUAGGACACAAACUGAAAAAAUGCAGUACUCCUUUUGAAAUGAGGGAAAAUACAAGUAAAUUCCAAGCCAGGUAGCAGUAACUUUUGGGUUUCUUGCUCACCUUGUUUAGGAAUGCACAUUUUGGUCUUAACUCAAAAGAAUGGUAAAGGAGUACUGUAUUUUAAUGGGUAUGAUUAGCAUCUUUUGUUGAAAAAGGUGGAUUUUUAAUAGUUUUUUCAUAGGAAAAAGUUUGCUUGUAACAAAGUUGUACAGUUCUAAAGUUUAUGAUGCAAAAUGUACUCAGAUGAGAGUUAUGUAAAUUGGAAAAUGGAUAUUUUAUGUAAAGAGAAAAAUCUUUUAAUUCUGUUAAUUGUUGAAAUUUUAUUUCUUCUCUGGCAGGAUUUUUGACCUCCAUGGACAUUAUUUCUUGUAUAGAAUGCUGCAUUUUAAUUGAAUAAAAGCAGAAAGGGUUAA